rnacentral:rRNA from 1 species
UACGUAGGGUGCGAGCGUUGUCCGGAAUUAUUGGGCGUAAAGAGCUCGUAGGCGGUCUGUCGCGUCGAAUGUGAAAACCCGGGGCUCAACUCCGGGCUUGCAUUCGAUACGGGCAGACUAGAGUGCGGUAGGGGAGAAUGGAACUCCUGGUGUAGCGGUGGAAUGCGCAGAUAUCAGGAAGAACACCGAUGGCGAAGGCAGUUCUCUGGGCCGUAACUGACGCUGAGGAGCGAAAGCGUGGGGAGCGAACAGG